AUGGACAUACUUGCAGAGAUGAAGGCAAACGAUCCAGAAUUCAAUUAUACUGUCCAAGUUGAUGAUGAGAGCAGAAUAAAAACACUUAUGUGGGUUAACGGGCGCAGUGUAGAACAGUACAGGUGUUUCGGAGAUGUUGUGACAUUCGAUACAACAUACAUGACAAAUCUAUAUGACAUGCCAUUUGGACUGUUUGUUGGAGUCAAAAAUCACUUCCAGAGCAUUAUUUUUGGAGGUGUCAUGUUGCGGGAUGAAAAGGAGGAUACAUUCAAGUGGGUUUUCCGUGAAUUCAUCAGGAUGGUUGGCGGCAAACACCCGCAAACAAUUUUAACCGAUCAGGCGCGAUCAAUGGAAUUGGCUAUAGAAGCAGAAAUGCCUAACACAACUCACAGGUGGUGUAAAUGGCAUGUGCUGAAGAAAGCAAAGGAAUCUAUGGGGGCUUUGUGGAGCAAGAAGUCUGAUUUCAAGAGUGAAUUCCACAAGCUGGUGCAUCACAUGGUCACAGAACAAGAGUUCGAAGAUGGCUGGUCUGCAAUGCUUGACAAAUAUUCACUUAGAAAGCAUCCAUAUCUGACUCAAAUAUAUGAGGUGCGGCAUAAAUGGGCAAAGCCGUAUUUCAGAGGUGUUUUUUGCGCGAAAAUGACCAGCACUCAACGUAAUGAAAGUGCCAAUCACAUGCUUAAGAGUUAUGUCCCACCCAGGUGCCCAAUGCAUUUGUUCAUUAAACAAUACGAGAAGCUUCAGUUCGAUAGGGACUCUGAGGAGAGUUUCCAGGAGAAACGGACUGCUCUGAGUGGUGUUCUUUUGAAAGUAAAUCUCCCAAUUGAGAGGCACGCUAGCAAGAUUUACACCAGGGCAAUGUUUGAGCAAUUUGGCAGUGCUCUUUACAAGGCAGGGGCUUAUGAACUAGAUGUUGCUGUACCAAAAAAGGUAUACAUUCUUACUCAUGUGGAUGCGCUCUCUCGUGAGAAAUGGAGCAAGGUCCAGUUCAAGGUUGAUGUUGAUGAUGAUCAGACCUUUUUCAACUGCGAGUGUGGUAUUUUCGAGCAUUCUGGAAUGGUCUGCUGCCAUGCAUUGAAGGUUAUGAUCGAGCUCAAGUUGAGCAAGAUACCAGAAAAGCACAUAUUGAAGCGAUGGACUAGGGAUGCCCGUGAUAUCUUGCCUGAUCAUCUCGUUCGGUACCAGAAGGACAGAGGGCCACAUGGCUUUGACACUUACAGGCACAACACCAUGUACAUGAAGGCGCUGGAGUGUGUUCGACUCGGCGAUAGUAACGUGAAGUGCUAUGAUGUUUUCAUGGCAAUGGUGAAGGAGGUUCACACGACUCUUCUCCCACUAAGCCAUGACAAAGAUGGUAUGGGGCUCGAGGAGCGAGAGGCUGCGGAUCAGAAAGCCAAAGAAGGUAACCAUGGUAAGAUAAAUGUCGAGGCCAACAUCGAUAUAGAUGAGGGUGAUGCAGUGUCAAACUGUUCUGGUAUUGCACCUGCGAAAGAAAUGCGCCUGGCUGGCAGGCCAACCACAAGCAGAGAUAAGGCUCCGUAUGAAGAGAAACUGAAGAGGUCAAGGUUCUGCACGAUAUGCCGGCUUAAGGGGCACAAGAGCACAACCUGUCCAGAUACGGGAGAUAUUCCAAAAGCUCCGAGGAAGAUGCCCAAGUGUGGCAAAUGUGGAGUGGUCGGACAACGUCGAACUUCAUGCGGGAAGCGGGCAGAACCAUUUGUUCCGAAUUUCCUGUAG
rnacentral:rRNA from 1 species